ACCUCCGAGUGGAAGGGCUGUCGCUCAACGGAUAAAAGUUACUCUAGGGAUAAGAGGCUAAUCUUCCGCAAUAGCUCACAUUGACGGGAAGGUUUGGCACCUCGAUGUCGGCUCUUCUCCACCUGGGGCUGUAGUAUGUUCCAAGGGUUGGGCUGUUCGCCCAUUAAAGCGGUACGUGAGCUGGGUUCAGAAUGUCAUGAGACAGUUCGGUCCAUAUCUGGUGUGGGCGUUAGAGCAUUGAGAGGACCUUUCCCUAGUACGAGAGGACCGGGAAGGACGCACCUCUGGUGUACCAAUUAUCGUGCCCAUGGUAAAUGCUGGGUAGCCAAGUGCGGAGCAGAUAACUGCUGAAAGCAUCUAAGUAGUGAGCCCACCCCAAGAUGAGUGCUCUCAUAUUCUGACUUCCUCAGAGCCUCCGGUAGCACAGCUGAGACGGCAAGGGGUUCACUGUCCCUGCGGGGAUCAAGUGACAGAAGUUUUGAGAAUUCAAAAGAAGGUCACGGCGAUACGAUCCGUUUAUCAUUACGAUAGGUGUUAAGUGGAAGUGCAGUGAUGUAUGCAGCUGAGGCAUCCUCACAGACC
rnacentral:ncRNA from 1 species